rnacentral:rRNA from 1 species
GGCCUAACACAUGCAAGUCGAGCGGUAACAGGAAAGUGCUUGCACUUUUGCUGACGAGCGGCGGACGGGUGAGUAAUGUCUGGGGAUCUGCCCGAGGGCGGGGGAUAACCACUGGAAACGGUGGCUAAUACCGCAUAAUGUCGCGAGACCAAAGUGGGGGACCUGAAAGGGCCUCACCCCCUCGGAUGAACCCAGAUGGGAUUAGCUAGUCGGUAGGGUAAUGGCCUACCGAGGCGACGAUCCCUAGCUGGUCUGAGAGGAUGACCAGCCACACUGGGACUGAGACACGGCCCAGACUCCUACGGGAGGCAGCAGUGGGGAAUAUUGCACAAUGGGCGCAAGCCUGAUGCAGCCAUGCCGCGUGUAUGAAGAAGGCCUUCGGGUUGUAAAGUACUUUCAGCGGGGAGGAAGGGUUUAGCCUGAACAGGGUUGAAUUUUGACGUUACCCGCAGAAGAAGCACCGGCUAAC